GAAUUGUUUGAACCUGGGAGGCGGAGGUUGCAGUGAGCCUAGAUAAUGCCACUGCACUCUAGCCUGGGUGACAGAGUGAGACUCCAUCUCAAAAAAAAGAAAAAAAAAAAUUCAGUGCCUGUUUUCAUGGAACUUACAGUCUAUAAUAAAGAUAAGAACGAUCAAUUAUAUUAAAUACCUUGGAUUUGGCAUUUAUUUCAUUUAAUCUUCACAGCAAUCCUAUGUUUAGUGUGCUCUUUUCACGUCAACAUCAUCUGCUGUUGUUAAAUGUUACAUGAAAAUAAGUCAAGGCAGAUCUGAGAAAACUAUUGAGUACUAGGUUCGUCUUAAUUGCAAAAGUUAAGUGGCCAUAGUUGAUGGUUAUGUAUAAUUAGUUAGUUUGAGAAUGUGGGGUACAUAUUUCAUAUUCAAAAGCGAACUCGUGCCUCUGUCAGUCAAUAUUUGUGGUCCACCAUUAUUCUUAGCAUCUAGUCCAUCGCCUGGCACAUAUUAGGUCAUCAAUACAUAAUUGUUAAAUUGAGUACUUAUUAUAUGCCAGACAUCACUUAUUCUGCAAAUUGCAUUUUAUUUGAUCUUUGUUCUUAGAAAUUAUGUAAGGGCCUCUGGAAGAAACAGUAAGAUUCUGGCCUACUAAGCUUUAGUGUGCUGUGUCAAUAGAAAUGUGCUGAGUCAGAGAACAGUUGGUCAAAACUAGUCUUAGAUGAAGAGUUUUUUCCCUUCUCUGACAUAACCCCUCUAUUUCUACUCCGAACUCAUCUCUUAUUACCCAGGACAUUGCUAAUAAGGAUGGAUAGUCCCAAGGUUCUGCCCUUGUAUUUCUGCUGUAUUAGAAAAUACUUGGAUUUUUGAGUCUUUAAAUCACAGUUCCAGAACUUACUAGCUGGGUAAUUUUUGUGAAGUUGCUUACUCUUAAUUUCUCAGUUUCUUUUUCUAUAAAAUUGAGAUAAUGCCAACUUCCAUGGUCAAGAAGAUUAAAUUAAAACGAUGUAUCCAACAAUAACUAAGACAAUGAAUAAAAGGAUAGGAAGCUAGAAACAGGGGUAGUUACAUUUACAGUAAAGUUAGUUGGAUAGGAAAUGUAGAAGGUUCUUGGUUCUCCACAGAUGUCCGUGACACUCAGCAUUUCCUAUGUGCUGACUCUCCUUACUGCAAGUGCUGGUGACCCUGGUGCAGCCUUUAUCUGUCUGUGGGAGCUGCCUUGGCCCACACUUGGGUCAGAAAAGAAGUGUCAGGGAGUAACACCCCUGGGGCAGCCCUCAACCAGUGACAGAGGGAGGCCAUGGAUAAAUGCCACGGGCUCUUGCCUCCCAAGUGAGACAACUCUGAGGCAUGAUCUAUGCUGCCCCUGAGACCCCCCAGGAAGUCUGAGCCCCAGCUGCCCGCAGCGACAACUGACUCCCAACACACCCUGUACUGGCUUUCUUUCCUUUUCUGUCUCACUUCUGCACUCACUUCCCAGUGCUUCCUGGGAUCCCUGGAUCCUUUUCUCAGCAUCUGUUUCUGGAGGGACACAUCCCGAAAUAGGAAGGACUAUUUUCAGUAGUCACUAUAAAGUAGGAGGUGUAACUGUGUGUAACUUCGUGGGGUUACAGGGUGGAGGAGUUGAAAGAAGAAAAUGGAGGCUUUUAGGGUAGAAAUCCUCUAGAACAGUGAUUCUCUGUGUUGGUGUGCUAGGGAGUCACCAAGCGCUUUGGAAGUGAAAUGGAGAGGUAGAAGCACUGAAGUGGCUCAAGUUAGAUGACUCUGAGGAGGAAAUGAGCCACCUCUUCAAAGUUCCACCUCUUUCUUCAAAGCACAGUUACCUGGAAGCACAAACGAAAAUGAAUGAGAGGAAGAUGAAGAAUAGGAGCAAUAAGAAGAGGAGGAGGAAAUCCCAUCUAAUUGGAGGAAAUCCCAUCUAAUUGUAUCUACCACAUUGCCACUACUUUACAUAUAUUUCCAUGGGUUCUUUGGAAGUGAAGUCCAGGAUUUGGGGACACACAGGGGGUCUAUGAUUCUAGUAAGCAAGACAGGAAGCAGUGAAGACAAAUAGAAUUAGUGAAUGAAAUGAGAUAGGUGAUGUGAGGCAGGAGAGAUUCCAGGGAAGCCAGAGAUGGGCUUGCUGGGUGGGGUCAAGGAGAUGACAGGCUGUGACUGCAAAUGGGAUAACAGAUCUCAGAAACACAGGUUACCGUGAGUAUUAACGACACUGACUAGGGCAGGUCAAAGGUGGAGGUCUUUAACCCAGGAAAUACCUCUGGGGUAAAGGAAUCUAAAAGGUUAAUGUGGAUUCCAAAGUCAAUACAGAUAAUGGCAAAGGGCAGGACAGAGGAGCAAGGCUGAUUCCGCUGCUGAAGUAGGCUUGGGAAGUGAGGAUGGAUCCGGUGAGUCCCGGCACUGAGAACUGCACAGUCUUCAACUGAGCAGAGGUGAGAGUGGGUGAGGGUAACUGGAGGGUGAGAAAGCACUCUGGAGGGAGGAAAGGCAGCUGGCCGCUCCAUCUCACCCGCUGACUUGAGCAGAGAAGAUAAAGCUAUCAUGCUGAAAACAGUUGGGGGAACGGUGAUUUCACAGGAGAGCAUCUUUCAGGCCAGGAGGUUUUGUGAAUGGGGACUGUGAUGGUUAAUUUUCUGUGUCAAAUUGGCUAGACCGCAGUAUUUCGUUAAAUAUUAUUCUAAUUAUUUCUGUGAGCAUAUUAUUUAGAUGAGAUUACCGUUUAAAUCAGCAGACUUUGAGUAAAGCAGAUUACCUUCCAUAAUGUGGGUGGCUCUCAUCUGAUCAGCUGGAGGCCUUAACAGAUAAACACUCCCUCUCCUUCCCAUUAGGCAGAGAGAAUUCUGUCCGCAGACUGCCUUUGGACUUGACCAGCAAUACCAAGUCUUCCCUGGGGCUCCAGCUGACCAGCUCACUCUGAAGAUUUUGGACUUGUCUGCCUGUACAAUAAUUCAGCUGUAACCAUGAGUACAGCAGCUUUCUGUGAGCUCUGUGAAUUCUUCCAGUGAAUUAUCAAAGUUUCAGUUCAGUGUGCAUGACAUAAUUGACAUGACUGAAACACAAGAUGUCUCUCUCAAGGACCUUUGAAGGUGACCACAGCAGGCUGGAGUAUAGUAACUGCUGCAACCUCUGCCUCCCAGGUUC